GUGGGUUUAUAUUAUUAAAGGGACACUCCAGGCUCCCACACACAUUAGAUGCACUGUGUAGGUUAGGUUACAGUUAGUUAUACCGGGUGGGUUAAUAUUAUUAAAGGGACACUCCAGGCUCCCACACACGUUAGAUGCACUGUGUAGGUUAGAUUACAGUUAGUUAUACUGGGUGGGUUUAUAUUAUUAAAGGGACACUCCAGGCUCCCACACACGUUAGGUGCACUGUGUAGGUUAGGUUACAGUUAGUUAUACUGGGUGGGUUUAUAUUAUUAAAGGGACACUCCAGGCUCCCACACAUUAGGUGCACUGUGUAGGUUAGGUUACAGUUAGUUAUACUGGGUGGGUUUAUAUUAUUAAAGGGACACUCCAGGCUCCCACACACGUUAGAUGCACUGUGUAGGUUAGGU